rnacentral:rRNA from 1 species
GAUGAACGCUAGCUACAGGCUUAACACAUGCAAGUCGAGGGGCAGCACGGAGAUAGCUUGCUAUCUUGGGUGGCGACCGGCGCACGGGUGAGUAACGCGUAUCCAACCUGCCCAUUACUCUGGGAUAGCCUUGCGAAAGUAAGAUUAAUACCGGAUGUUGUUAAAAACCCGCAUGAGUUUUUAUCCAAAGAUUUAUUGGUAAUGGAUGGGGAUGCGUGACAUUAGGUAGUUGGUGAGGUAACGGCUCACCAAGCCGACGAUGUCUAGGGGUUCUGAGAGGAAGGUCCCCCACACUGGAACUGAGACACGGUCCAGACUCCUACGGGAGGCAGCAGUGAGGAAUAUUGGUCAAUGGACGAGAGUCUGAACCAGCCAAGUAGCGUGCAGGAUGACGGCCCUCUGGGUUGUAAACUGCUUUUAGUUGGGAAUAAAAAGAGGGACGUGUCCCUAAUUGUAUGUACCAUCAGAAAAAGGACCGGCUAAUUCCGUGCCAGCAGCCGCCGUAAUAC